rnacentral:tRNA from 1 species
GGGGUUGUGGCUCAGCGGCAGAGUGCUCGCCUAGCAUGUGUGAGGCCCUGGGUUCAAUCCUCAGCACCA